ACUCGCUGAGAGGCCCUAGGCCUACGUCCAGAUGGUGGGGAAACUGUGGGGGCCCAACCUGUUCGAAGGGAGGAAUUGGGGAAGGGACGGGCUGGCCUUCUCCCCAUGGGAAAGGGGAGGACAUUCAGAAGGACCUCUUGGCAUUUGGGAGCUUCUGAAGGAGCUGCGGCCACCGCCGCCCUGUCUCCUGUGCCCAUGAUUCACGGAGUGGCCCGGGACAGAGCAGCCUCUUCGCAGAACCCUCAGGGAGGCUCCAGGCCUCAGGGAGGAGGCAGCAAAGGUUGGUUUUGCUAUUGUCAAAGUCUUCAGUGGGCCCUUGGCCAGGAGACUGGUGGAAUUGAAACCCACUCCCUUAGGGGAAGGGUCCCAGCAGGCGUGGCUGUCUUGUCUCUGGUUCGGAUUAGGUGACAGGCACUCCAAAUGUGACACUUUCUCGUUCUCAUCUUAGUUUCUCUAUCAUCUGCAUUUAGCCCGCUAGCUCAGACCAGGAUGUGCCCCAUGCAGGUGAGGGUGGGUGGGGAGAGCCAAGGCACUCCAGCGGGCUCAGGGCCUGGACCCUGUGAGGCCUGGAUGCCGCCUCCACCUAAGCCUUCAGCUGAACCCCCAGGGUGGCGUGUGUGUCCCUUCAGGGGCUGAGUGUUCGUCUGUGUGUCUUUGAUGGGGCCAAGCAGAAGAGCUCGAAUUGGAAAUUAUUCACUUCUAGAAUCACAAUUCAGAAAAAAAGAAAUGGUUCCCAUGAGCCCAGGUUUCAUGCUCCUGCAGUCACUACAUGGACCUGGACGUCACUCCUAUGACCUCUUUUUCAGGCGCACAAACACAGGUAGCUGCCAUGAGCAUCCCACGCGCAUGCGUCCUGGUGUGUUUCUGCCACAUGAUCCGUAGGCUAGAUUCAAGGAGCACUUUCUGCCAGCAGCAGGGAACAGAGUGCAGGCCUGGGAUGAACUGAGGACAUCAGAAUGAAAUGCUCUAAGAGCCAUGAUCUCAUGGCCAGAGACAGACUCUGGCUAAAAUCACCUGUAGUGACCAGACUUCACAGCCCAAACCACUGUCUUCAUCCAUAAAAUCAGGAUCCAAUCGACUUGGUCCAGGAACUCCAUUCCCAGACAGAUUUUCUUGGCCCAGAUUUUAAAAAUGUAAACACGGUCCCUCUUCCAGCCAGCACUUUUCAGCUGGCCAGCCACAGCUUGCCCUUCUCCUGCACCCCAAGGAAACUGUCACCACCCGCCAGGUCAGGAGCCCAGCUCAAAGCCAUGGCGUAGGCCUCUUCAGGACUAGGAUUCUAAAACGGGGGUCCAUUUCCCCAAAGGGAAGUUCUCCUUUCUCCUCAUGUGAUGAGGUGGGGGCGGCUCAUCAAGCCACAUGUGGGGGUGGGCCUCCACCCAGGAUGGCACUGUCCCCACACAGGGUCUCCUGGCUCCCACUCCCUCCUGUGUUAUAAAUUGUAGGGAAAGAAAACUGUGGCCAGCACCUUUCUCUACCAUCACCUCCACGGGGACAGCUAUUCCUUGCUAGAAUUACCAGGCCCCCUCCAGCAGCAGAGGCCAUGGGGCUACCUGCCUGCCCUCCAGCUCUGACAGCCAGCUCUCAAGUCCCAGUGGGCCAGGAGGAGAGCUCUGUCUUCCCCAAGAUUUUAUUGUAUUGUGGCAAAAUCAACAUAACUUUUUUUUUUUCUUUUGAGAUGGAGUUUCGCUCUUAUUGCCUAGGCUGGAGUACAAUGGUGUGGUCUCGACUCACUGCAAACUCCGCCUCCUGGGUUCAAGCGAUUCUCCUGCCUCAGCCUCCUGAAUAGCUGGGAUUACAGGUGCGUGCCACCACACCCAGGUAAUUUUUGUAUUUUUGGGGUUUCACCACAUUGGCCAGGCUAGUCUUGAACUCCUGACCUCAGGUGAUGCACCCACCUUGGCCUCCCAAAGUGCUGGGAUUACAGGUGUGAGCCACCAUGCCUGGCCAACAUAACAUUUUUUUAAAUGUAUCUUCCACCUCAGCCUCCCAAGUAGUUGACACUAUAGGUGCACACCACCACACCCAGCUCAUCAUCUUUUUUUUUUUUUUUUAGAUUUUUUUUUUGUUGUUAGCAACAGGAUCUUACUAUGUUGCCCAGGCUGCUCUCCAACUCCUGGGUGCAAGUGAUCCUCUCACCUCAGCCUCCCAGAGGACUGGGAUUAUGGGCAUGAGCUAUUGCUUUUAAAAUCUGAUGAUCAGUGCAGUGCCUUUUAUUCUGAGCCUCCACUCCACUGAGUGGUCUCCCCCACUUCAUGCCCCAGGGGCUCAUGUGCCAAGGCAGUGGGGGACACACUCCGACUAUGGGGAGUUGUGUCCCACCCAGGCCUCCCCUGAGAUGCCCACUGGCUAUGACUGUCGGAGGCCAGUCUGUGAAGGUCACUGCGGCAACUCCCCCAGCCCACCUGCAAGAAGGCUUCAGGCCACCACUGCUGGGAGCCAGGUUCUCCCUGCCACUCCAAGGCCAGGCCAGGGUACCAGGACCCCUGUGAUAUUGUGAUAUAAUAAAAAAUACGUUUUUGGCCUCUGCCCCCAUUCCUGACAUAGAUCUCCUAAAAUCUGUAAUCUCCUGAGUGAUUGGAAUGGCUGACAGAAUUCCUAAAUCCUUUGGAAUUUCCUGGGUUAUGGGGGCAUCUUUUCUUUUUUUUUUCAAGACAGCAUCUUGCUCUGUCACCCAGGCUGGAGUGUAGUGGUGUGAUCACAGCUCACUGCAGCUUCCUGGGCUCAAGUGAUCCUCCCACCUCAGUCUCCUAGGUAGCUGGGACUACAGCUGCACACCACCAUGCCUGGCUAAUCAUUUUUAUUUUUUGUAGAGAUGAGGUCUCCUUAUGUUGUCCAGGCUGAUCUCAAAUUCUUGGGCUCAAGCGAUCCACUUGCUUUGGCCUCCAGAAGGGCUGGGAUGACAGGCAUGAGCCCCCGCGCCUGGCCAGGAGCAUCAUUUUAGGAGACUCUUGGUGGGCUCCUGCAUGGCCUCAGGAUAGGGGCUGGUUGCCAGGGAACCAGCCCUGUGAUUAAAGGGUCAGGACUUUCAGCCACAUCCCCCAACCUCUGGGGAAGGGAGAGGAGCUGAAGUUUGAAUCAAUCACCAGUGGCCAAUGAGGUAAUCAAUUGUGCCUAUGUAAUGAAGGCUCCAGAAAAAUCCCCAAGCUACAGGGCUCAAAGAGCUUCCAGAGAGUGAACACGUACAGGCUCUGAGAUCGUGGUGUCCAGGGAGACCACGGAAGCUCCAUGCCCUGCCCCACAUGCCUUCCCCAUGAGUGUCUUCAUCUGUGUCCUUUGUAAUAUCCUUCAUAAUAAAAGGCUAAACAUACAG
rnacentral:lncRNA from 10 species